rnacentral:rRNA from 1 species
UACGUAGGGUGCAAGCGUUAUCCGGAAUGAUUGGGCGUAAAGCGUCUGUAGGUUGCUUUUCAAGUCCGCCGUCAAAUCCCAGGGCUCAACCCUGGACAGGCGGUGGAAACUACCAAGCUGGAGUACGGUAGGGGCAGAUGGAAUUUCCGGUGGAGCGGUGAAAUGCGUAGAGAUCGGGAGGAACAUCAGUGGCGAAGGCGGCCAUCUGGGACAACACUGACGCUGAAGCACGAAAGCGUGGGGAGCAAACAGG